UACGUAGGGGCGAGCGUUGUCCGGAAUGAUUGGGCGUAAAGGGCGCGUAGGCGGCUGUGCAAGUCAGUAGUGGAAGCCCAGCUUUUAAGGUUGGAAGUGCUAUUGAAACUGUGCAGCUUGAGUGCAGGAGAGGUUAUCGGAAUUCCCGGUGUAGCGGUGAAAUGCGUAGAGAUCGGGAGGAACACCGGUGGCGAAGGCGGCUUUCUGGCUGACAACUGACGCUGAGGCGCGAAAGCGUGGGGAGCAAACAGGAUUAGAUACCCU
rnacentral:rRNA from 1 species